UACGUAGGUGGCAAGCGUUACUCGGAAUUACUAGGCGUAAAGGGCAGGUAGGUGGUUCGAUAAGUCUGUUGUGAAAGCUCCCGGCUCAACUGGGAGAGGCCAACAGAAACUAUCGGGCUUGAGUAUGGGAGAGGGUACUGGAAUUCCCGGUAUAGCGGUGAAAUGCGCAGAGAUCGGGAGGAACACCAAUGGCGAAAGCAGGUACCUGGACCAUUACUGACACUCAACUGCGAAAGCUAGGGGAGCAAACAGG
rnacentral:rRNA from 1 species